rfam:Actinobaculum sp. oral taxon 183 str. F0552 genomic scaffold Scaffold35, whole genome shotgun sequence.
GUUGUAGGUGUUGUAGGGCGUUCGGUGGAUGCCUGGGUACCGGGAGCCGAAGAAGGACGUUGCAGCCUGCGAUAUGCCUCGGGGAGCCGGCAAGCGGGCUUUGAUCCGAGGGUGUCCGAAUGGGGGAACCUGGCCGGGGUUGUGCCCGGUCGCUCGUGCCUGAAUUCAUAGGGUGCGGGUGGUGACGCGGGGAAGUGAAACAUCUUAGUACCCGUAGGAAGAGAUAUUCCGUGAGUAGUGGUGAGCGAAAGCGGAGGAGCCUAAACCGUGGGCGUGUGAGAGCCGUCGGGUGUUGCGUGUGCGGUGUUGUGGGAGAUGAUCGUGAUCAUGCCGACGCGUGGUCGCGCAGUGAUAAACCGUGGGGAUAGGCGAAGGGUCUGGGAAGGCCUGCCGGAGAGGGUGAGAGCCCCGUAGCUGAAAUUCUCGUGGCUGUGUGAUUGUGUUCCCGAGUAGCAUGGGGCCCGUGGAAUCCCGUGUGAAUCUGGCAAGACCACUUGUCAAGGCUAAAUACUCCUGGUGACCGAUAGUGGAGAGUACCGUGAGGGAAGGGUGAAAAGUACCCCGGGAGGGGAGUGAAAGAGUGCCUGAAACCGGGCGCCUACAAUCCGUCAGAGCCUCCGUGGUGGGGGUGAUGGCGUGCCUUUUGAAGAAUGAGCCUGCGAGUUAGUGGCAUGUGGCGAGGUUAACCCGUGUGGGGGAGUCGUAGCGAAAGCGAGUCCGAAGAGGGCGUGAGUCGCGUGUUCUAGACCCGAAGCGGGGUGAUCUACCCAUGGCCAGGGUGAAGCUCGUGUAAGAGCGUGUGGAGGCCCGAACCCACCAGGGUUGAAAACCUGGGGGAUGAGUUGUGGGUAGGGGUGAAAGGCCAAUCAAACUCCGUGAUAGCUGGUUCUCCCCGAAAUGCAUAUAGGUGCAGCGUUGCGUGGUUCCUUCCGGAGGUAGAGCGACUGGUUGGCUGAUGGGCCUUACCGGGUUACUGACGUCAGCUAAACUCCGAAUGCCGGGAGGGUGGAGCGUGGCAGUGAGACGGCGGGGGAUAAGCUUCGUCGUCGAGAGGGAAACAGCCCAGAUCGCCGGUUAAGGCCCCUAAGCGUGUGCUAAGUGGGAAAGGAUGUGGAGUUGCUGGGACAACCAGGAGGUUGGCUUAGAAGCAGCCAUCCUUGAAAGAGUGCGUAAUAGCUCACUGGUCAAGUGGUUCCGCGCCGACAAUGUAGCGGGGCUUAAGCACACCGCCGACGCCGCGGCAGUCCAUCGUGGUCCUAGCCUGUCCGUUGGGCGGGUUCAGGGGGUGGGCUGGGUAGGGGAGCGUCCCGCGUUGGGUGAAGUCUCGGGGUGACCCGGGGUGGACGGCGUGGGAGUGAGAAUGCAGGCAUGAGUAGCGAGAGGCGGGUGAGAAACCCGUCCGCCGAUUGACUAAGGGUUCCAGGGCCAGGUUGAUCCGCCCUGGGUUAGUCGGGUCCUAAGGCGAGGCCGACGGGCGUAGUCGAUGGACAACGGGUUGAUAUUCCCGUACCGGCGCUUGACCGUUCAAUGUUCGCCGGGGUGAUGCUAACCAUCCCCGAUCCUGUGUGUCUCUUUCGGGAGGCGUGUGGGGGAGGGCGUGGGGUCCGAGCCUGGGUGGGCAAGCGUGGUAACAGGUGUGACGCAGAGUGGUAGUCCAACCGUGUCGUAUGGCUGAGCACGGCUAAGGGUGCAGCCCGUCUCCCAGGUAAAUCCGGGGGGCGUUCGGGUCAGGCCUGAUGGGGACCGUUUGACGGGAAGUGGAUGAUCCUGUGCUGCCGAGAAAAGCAUCGACGUCAGGGCAAGCGCCGCCCGUACCCGAAACCGACACAGGUGGUCAGGUAGAGUAUACCGAGGCGUGCGAGUCAAUCGUGGUUAAGGAACUCGGCAAAAUGCCCCCGUAACUUCGGGAGAAGGGGGGCCCGGGCCUUGAUGUCCCCGUGCGGGGCGGAGGGGUCGGGGCCGCAGAGUCCAGGGAGAAGCGACUGUUUAUCAAAAACACAGGUGCGUGCUAAGCCGCAAGGCGAUGUAUACGCACUGACGCCUGCCCGGUGCUGGAAGGUUAAGCGGACUGGUCAGCCCUUCGGGGUGAAGCUGGGAAGUUAAGCCCCAGUAAACGGCGGUGGUAACUAUAACCAUCCUAAGGUAGCGAAAUUCCUUGUCGGGUAAGUUCCGACCUGCACGAAUGGCGUAACGACUUCUCCGCUGUCUCGACCACGAGCUCGGUGAAAUUGCAGUACGAGUAAAGAUGCUCGUUUCGCGCAGCAGGACGGAAAGACCCCGGGACCUUUACUAUAGCUUGGUAUUGGUGUUCGGUACGGCUUGUGUAGGAUAGGUGGGAGACUGUGAACCGGUCACGCUAGUGGGCGGGGAGUCGUUGGUGAAAUACCACUCUGGCCGUGCUGACCAUCUAACCUCGGUCCGUGAUCCGGGCCAGGGACAGUGCCUGGUGGGUAGUUUAACUGGGGCGGUUGCCUCCUAAAGGGUAACGGAGGCGCUCAAAGGUUCCCUCAGCCUGGUCGGCAACCAGGUGGCGAGUGUAAGUGCACAAGGGGGCUUGACUGUGAGACUGACGGGUCGAGCAGGUACGAAAGUAGGAACUAGUGAUCCGGCGGUGGCUUGUGGAAGCGCCGUCGCUCAACGGAUAAAAGGUACCCCGGGGAUAACAGGCUGAUCCUGCCCAAGAGUUCAUAUCGACGGCAUGGUUUGGCACCUCGAUGUCGGCUCGUCGCAUCCUGGGGCUGGAGUAGGUCCCAAGGGUUGGGCUGUUCGCCCAUUAAAGCGGUACGCGAGCUGGGUUCAGAACGUCGUGAGACAGUUCGGUCCCUAUCCGCUGCGCGCGUAGGAGAAUUGAGAAGGGCUGUCCCUAGUACGAGAGGACCGGGACGGACGAACCUCUGGUGUGCCAGUUGUUCCGCCAGGAGCAUGGCUGGUUGGCUACGUUCGGGAGGGAUAACCGCUGAAAGCAUCUAAGCGGGAAGCCUGCUUCAAGAUAAGUUCUCCAUCCAGCCUGUGUGCUGGGUGAGGUCCCCCGCAGACGACGGGGUUGAUAGGCCGGACGUGGACGCCUCGUAAGGGGUGGAGCUGACCGGUACUAAUGGACCGACCGCCUACACCAU